rnacentral:misc_RNA from 1 species
UUUGUGACAUGCAUGUGCGGG